rnacentral:misc_RNA from 1 species
UGGAGAGCAUAGAGGGUAGCAAUGACAGGUUUAUAUGCCAGUAAAUUGAUAUUCUUGACCAUACUGGGAAUCCAAAAUUAAACUCAAGUGGUCGGUCAGCAGGUCCUCCAACUAUCAAAGGUAGCCACACGUAUCUUGAGUCCCUCAAGUCAGCUGGAUUCCACCGAUCGGCCAUGAAAAUAAAUGAACCUGGAAGUCCUUCCAAAGGAAUUACAAAUGUGCUUUGCGCAAAAAAUGUUGUAAGCCGAAACAUCUUGUUGCCUCCAAUGCAUGGAUUUCCCAUAGUUUCCCAUGGACCCAUGACUGAUUCAGCUGCAUGGGCCAGAGCCUCAUUUGGGGCCCAGCCAGUGCACCCUGAUGUGAUCAUGUAGUAAGUCCCCUGAUGCUUAAAUAGUGCUGGAGCCUCCCUGUGUUGCCCAACAAGAAUCCUUCUCACAACGUGUGUGACAUCAAGAUAAUCUUCUGUAAGAGGUCCAAUGUGAAGCUCACUGUUAUCCUCAGAGGAAUAUAUAAGAUAUGCCACACCAUCAUCAUCUUUAAAGAUAGUCAUAUCUCUGCUUUCAAAUCCAUGAGGCCUUUUGCUAUAGAGGUAAUCAAAAGGACCAGUCGGGGAAUCACUAAUGGCAAUACCAACAGCAGCUUUGGUGUAGUUGGCAUCAUCAAUAUGCAUCCACAUCACAUACUUCCCUGUCCUGUCAUUGUAAAUCACUUUUGGCCUCUCGAGCACGUUAGAUUUGUGGAGAGCAUGGGUUUCAUUUGUCUCUUCUGCUGCCAAUACAAUCCCCUCAUUUUUCCAUGUCCAAAGGUCUUUGGAGGAAUAGCAACCAACUCCAAUGAUGUCAACCCGCGCUGCUCCUUUUUUGUGGGCAUGGUAAGUAGGGCCAUCUUUAUACUCUCCAUACCAAUAGUAGGUCUUUGACAUUUCAUCAUAUAAAAUUCCUCCUCCAUGAGCUUGAAUGGGAUUUCCCUCAGUAUCCAACCAAAUUCUCCCAGGAUAAUAAUAGAAGCUAUUGUUCCCAGCAUCGUUCAUUGGAUCUAUAGCGCUUUUCAUACCAGGAAAGAAAACAUGCCGAAGUUGAGAAUUCUCAUCAAGAAAUUCAUCAAUCAGUGUGGUCGUCCUCUUAGGCCUUCGUUUUGCAGCACGUGGAGAUCUUUUACCCCUUGGUGGAGGAAUUUGGAUAUUGUCCUCCUCCACCUGCUCAAGUUCACGGAUGAGAGGAUGAUGACUCGAAUGGAAUUGGAUCUCUCCAUCUUUCCCACCAUUGUGGCUAAAAAGGGAGUACAAGUGAAGGAAAAGUAGAAAU